ACGUACACUCCUGCGGGAGGCAGCAGUGGGGAAUUUUGGACAAUGGGCGCAAGCCUGAUCCAGCCAUGCCGCGUGCGGGAAGAAGGCCUUCGGGUUGUAAACCGCUUUUGUCAGGGAAGAAAAGGUUCUGGCUAAUACCUGGGACUCAUGACGGUACCUGAAGAAUAAGCACCGGCUAACUACGUGCCAGCAGCCGCGGUAAUACGUAGGGUGCAAGCGUUAAUCGGAAUUACUGGGCGUAAAGCGUGCGCAGGCGGUUAUGCAAGACAGAGGUGAAAUCCCCGGGCUCAACCUGGGAACUGCCUUUGUGACUGCAUGGCUAGAGUACGGUAGAGGGGGAUGGAAUUCCGCGUGUAGCAGUGAAAUGCGUAGAUAUGCGGAGGAACACCGAUGGCGAAGGCAAUCCCCUGGACCUGUACUGACGCUCAUGCACGAAAGCGUGGGGAGCAAACAGGAUUAGAUACCCCUGUAGUCCCAUGAU
rnacentral:rRNA from 1 species